rnacentral:rRNA from 1 species
UACGAAGGGGGCUAGCGUUGCUCGGAAUCACUGGGCGUAAAGAGCGUGUAGGUGGUCUCAUGUGUCCGCUGUGAAAGAACACGGCUCAACCGUGUGGAGCGGCGGAAACUGUGGGACUUGAGACUGGGAGGGGCUGGUGGAAUUCCCUGUGUAGCGGUGAAAUGCGUAGAGAUGGGGGAGAACACUCGUGGCGAAGGCGGCCAGCUGGACCAGUUCUGACACUGAGACGCGAAAGCGUGGGGAGCAAACAGG